AAUCAACGCUGGCGGCGUGCCUCAGACAUGCAAGUCGAACGCGAAAGUUCCCUUCGGGGGGCGAGUAGAGUGGCGCACGGGUGAGUAACACGUAGGUAAUCUACCUUUGGGUGGGGAAUAACAGCCGGAAACGGCUGCUAAUACCGCAUAAUGCAGCGGCUCGACAUCGAGACAGUUGUUAAAGCGGGGGAUCGCAAGACCUCGCGCCUAAAGAGGAGCCUGCGGCGGAUUAGCUUGUUGGUGAGGUAAUGGCUCACCAAGGCAUCGAUCCGUAGCCGGCCUGAGAGGGCGGUCGGCCACACUGACACUGACAUACGGGUCAGACUCCUACGGGAGGCGGCAGUCGGGAAUUUUGGGCAAUGGGCGCAAGCCUGACCCAGCAACG
rnacentral:rRNA from 1 species